ACUGUGCACAAAGAAUCGCAAAUGAAGUCUACAAACGGAAGAAUUUCAUUUCUUCAUUACACAAAUUUUGCUUUAGGGAAAGGUAAUACAAUCUUAUGUAUAUUUAAUUUAACCAGAAAGUCCCCGGACAACUCUUUUUUAGAGUUCAAGCGGAAACGCUCCAAAAUAGAAACUUGGAAGUCUCUCCAUAGUUAGUCCUAAUAUAUUUUUUAUAUCCUUAUAGUUUUUUCUGUGGUUUUUAAAACUAUAGGACUUAAGUUUAUAUACUAUUUAGUCCUUUUAUCCUUAAUGGAAAGACAAAGAUAUGAGUCUUGGACUUAUAGAUUAUGAACUAAGACUAUUUUUUCAUAAAGACCAAUAAAGAAAUAACGAAAUCAUUUAGGAGGAAAAAUUAUUAGGGCUACUUUUUAUGGAUGGUGAGUCAUUUUUUGUCAAAGUAAAUAGUUAUGCGGUUAUUUCCUUGAUUUUAGAAAAGGAUUUAACAUAAUGGGGCUUACUCUUGAUGCACAG
rfam:Pneumocystis jirovecii RT7 supercont1.1, whole genome shotgun sequence.